rnacentral:rRNA from 1 species
GAUGAACGCUGGCGGCGUGCCUAAUACAUGCAAGUCGAGCGAACGGACGAGAAGCUUGCUUCUCUGAUGUUAGCGGCGGACGGGUGAGUAACACGUGGAUAACCUACCUAUAAGACUGGGAUAACUUCGGGAAACCGGAGCUAAUACCGGAUAAUAUUUUGAACCGCAUGGUUCAAAAGUGAAAGACGGUCUUGCUGUCACUUAUAGAUGGAUCCGCGCUGCAUUAGCUAGUUGGUAAGGUAACGGCUUACCAAGGCAACGAUGCAUAGCCGACCUGAGAGGAUGAUCGGCCACACUGGAACUGAGACACGGUCCAGACUCCUACGGGAGGCAGCAGUAGGGAAUCUUGCGCAAUGGGCGAAAGCCUGACGGAGCCACGCCGCGUGAGUGAUGAAGGUCUUCGGAUCGUAAAACUCUGUUAUUAGGGAAGAAAAUAUGUGUAAGUAACUGUGCACAUCUUGACGGUACCUAAACAGAAAGCCACGGCUAACUACGUG